GUUUCUGAUUUAUGGCACUUAUGUACUUGUGUACUUUUAUGUUGUGUUUGGUUAUCAUUAAUUUCACGAAAACUUAUGAAUAUUUUGUUGUAUAAACUAGACAAUGGCGCAAUAUUUAAAAGAUAAGACUCCUUGUUGAAUAUAAUCAGUUAAGUUAAAGGAACUAUUAAAGUAGAAGAACAGCAGGAGGGGCAUAUGAGAAAAAACGAAGCUUACUGUUGAAGAUAGAGGAUACAUAUAUGUAAGACAUAUAAUAAUGUAAGACAUGUUUGAAAGAAUACUUGAUGUAACAAAAAAUAGUUUCAUCCUCUUUAAACAAUAAAUCAUUAUACAUUGCUUGUCUACGCCUUUUUUUUGUAGAUAUGUGAUAAAUAUCUGCGUAGAACAAUACUAGCAAUAGCAUUCUGACACUGUCUACCACUUCACCAUAACCUAACUGUUCACAACGAGGUAUAUAACUUCAAGAAGGGGAAACAUCCAAAACAAGAAAGCCAUCUAAAUCCAUAUCAAUCCCAGAUUAAAUUUCGAACUGAGGAAGGUCAUAGAAGGUCUUUUUUCGUUUUUCGUUGAUUUGAAGCGUAUCUCUUGCUGAACAAAAUAAACCUGCCUGGAUACUAAGACACAUAAGAAUAU
rnacentral:lncRNA from 1 species